UACGGAGGGGGCUAGCGUUGUUCGGAAUUACUGGGCGUAAAGCGCACGUAGGUGGCGCAUCAAGUCAGGGGUGAAAGGCCUGGGCUCAACCUGGGAACUGCCUUUGAGACUGAUGUGCUAGAGUCCGGGAGAGGGCAGUGGAAUUCCCAGUGUAGAGGUGAAAUUCGUAGAUAUUGGGAAGAACACCAGUGGCGAAGGCGGCUGCCUGGCCCGGCACUGACACUGAGGUGCGAAAGCGUGGGGAGCAAAC
rnacentral:rRNA from 1 species